rnacentral:ncRNA from 1 species
AAGGGGAGCCUGGUAUAUGCCGCCGCUGGUCCGUAACCGUGAUCGGGGACGAAAUCUGCCAUCAGCCACUGUCCUCUGGGAUGGGAAGGCGCAGAGAGCAGGACAAGCCGAGAGUCAGGAGACCU